CUCGGUUUCUGGAGCGGCGUGGUACUACCCUAUUCCAUUCCGAACUAGGCCGUAAAACGCGCCAGCGCUGAAAAUAGCUAGGGGGCGACUCCUCGUGAAGAUAGGUCGAAGCCGAGA
rnacentral:rRNA from 2 species